rnacentral:rRNA from 1 species
UACGAAGGGUGCAAGCGUUAAUCGGAAUUACUGGGCGUAACGCGCGCGUAGGUGGUUCAGUAAGUUGGAAGUGAAAUCCCCGGGCUCAACCUGGGAACUGCUUUCAAAACUGCUGAGCUAGAGUACGGUAGAGGGUGGUGGAAUUUCCUGUGUAGCGGUGAAAUGCGUAGAUAUAGGAAGGAACACCAGUGGCGAAGGCGACCACCUGGACUGAUACUGACACUGAGGUGCGAAAGCGUGGGGAGCAAACAGG